UACGUAGGGUGCAAGCGUUUGUCCGGAAUUAUUGGGCGUAAAGAGCUCGUAGGCGGUCUGUCGCGUCUGCUGUGAAAACUCGGGGCUUAACCCCGGGCCUGCAGUGGGUACGGGCAGACUAGAGUGCGGUAGGGGAGACUGGAAUUCCUGGUGUAGCGGUGAAAUGCGCAGAUAUCAGGAGGAACACCGGUGGCGAAGGCGGGUCUCUGGGCCGUAACUGACGCUGAGGAGCGAAAGCGUGGGGGAGCGAACAGG
rnacentral:rRNA from 1 species